rnacentral:lncRNA from 1 species
AUGACUGUCUCAAACUGUGCCCAGGGUAUUUGCCAGCCUGCUUUAGAGCUGGCAGCUGCAGAAGUGUUCUCCCAUUUGAGAUGUCUGCCUUUUUGGAUUAGAUUACAAAUCAACUCUGUUUCUUGGGACCAGCAUCCCAUCCGGCAUGCUCUGAAGAACUGCAGUCUUUCAUGGGGAAACUUAGGCGUCCCACAGAAUUGCUCCCGUCUGAAAACAAUGAGGCAAUUCACUGGCCAAGUGUCCUCCAAUGGACAGAAAACACGAGUCUUAAUCUGAAAAGUUUCAAAUAAGGGAGACUUGCAAUGUUUGUCAAAAGUUCCUUAACCUACCCAUCGAGAGAACAGACCCUUGUUGGGAUGGGGAGAAUGGACUGGGUUGGAAGACAGAAGGGAGCAAAAGCAGAAGCUGUCUGUUUAUCUGAUUCUCCAAACUAAACUCUACAGCUAGUAUUAAUCACAGGCAGUUGCUCAUCUUGUUCAAACAGCACAUACAGGCUGGCAGGCUGUGAGCUAUUGGCUGUAUUUAAAUGGAGCUGUGGGAUAUUGCUGGGUGUCAACCUCUUCGUGCCUUAUCAUGUUCAACAUGGAUUAAGCUCACCAAGCAGGGCUCUCUUUCUGGAACAAGUCGUGACAGCUAACUGUGCUCUUUCUGCACCACAAGAGUGAAGGCAUUACUGCCAUUGAAUAUUAAACUUUGAUGACUCAGUAGGCUGAGCCUUAUUUCUAGCAACUGGGAGGAGGAAAACUCUGCACCAGGCCUGUUUUUUUUUUUGAAUGCCCAGAACAAGUCAUAUGCAUUUUCCUAACACUUGUCCCACAUUUGGUUCUCAAUCUUAGUUUAUACUGCAGCAGACCAGCAUAUUAUUAUUACCUAAAAUGCAUUUGUCUUUUCCAUCAGAUGGAGAACUUCUCAGAUAAAGACACUUAUAUUUCCUCUUGUGGCCUACCAUUUUAUCGCCCAUACUUGGAAAUUAAUGGGGGAUUAAUAAAUAGUGUCCCAUAUGGUGCUGGUCCA